ensembl:miRNA
UCUAUUAGGUUGGUGCAAAAGUAAUUGCUGUUUUUGCAAACAGUUUUAAUAGCAAAAAUCACAAUAACUUUUGCACCAACCUAAUA